rnacentral:rRNA from 1 species
AGCGAACGCUGGCGGCAGGCCUAACACAUGCAAGUCGAACGAAGCCUUCGGGCUUAGUGGCGGACGGGCGAGUAACACGUGGGAACGUACCUUUAGGUUCGGAACAACUCAGGGAAACUUGAGCUAAUACCGGAUAAGCCCUUCGGGGGAAAGAUUUAUCGCCUUAGAGCGGCCCGCGUUAGAUUAGCUAGUUGGUGAGGUAAAGGCUCACCAAGGCUACGAUCUAUAGCUGGUCUGAGAGGAUGAUCAGCCACACUGGGACUGAGACACGGCCCAGACUCCUACGGGAGGCAGCAGUGGGGAAUCUUGCGCAAUGGGCGAAAGCCUGACGCAGCCAUGCCGCGUGAAUGAUGAAGGUCUUAGGAUUGUAAAAUUCUUUUACCAGGGACGAUAAUGACGGUACCUGGAGAAAAAGCCCCGGCUAACUUCGUGCCAGCCGCCGCCGUAAUAC